GAAGGAAAAGCGGUUUUAUACAACUGCACGUUGUGUAUCACGCGCAAGAUGGACUGUUGGACUUUAAAGAGAUGUUACCCAAGUUCUCUAGAUCUUUGGGAAACUGUGCUUCUCGUUUGUGCUGCUUCUACUGGGUCCAUAGUGAUUGGUUUUCUUGUUUGCUUGUUUGAAUACAAGUACACAAUGAAGAAUUCAAUUAAAGCUGAGCUUAUGAUACCUGAAAAAAAGACUUAUAAAAAGAUACAAAAAAGAAAAAAGAAUUAGUAUAUUAUAAAGCUUGUAAACCGCAGCAGUACUAUAGAGUAGAUAAAUAGUUGCAGAGCAGAGAUAGUGACAGACAGACAGGC